AACGCGUAGGUAACCUGCCUGGUAGCGGGGGAUAACUAUUGGAAACGAUAGCUAAUACCGCAUAAUAUUGAUUAUUGCAUGAUAAUUGAUUGAAAGAUGCUAUUGCAUCACUACCAGAUGGACCUGCGUUGUAUUAGCUAGUAGGUGAGGUAACGGCUCACCUAGGCGACGAUACAUAGCCGACCUGAGAGGGUGAUCGGCCACACUGGGACUGAGACACGGCCCAGACUCCUACGGGAGGCAGCAGUAGGGAAUCUUCGGCAAUGGACGAAAGUCUGACCGAGCAACGCCGCGUGAGUGAAGAAGGUUUUCGGAUCGUAAAGCUCUGUUGUAAGAGAAGAACGGGUGUGAGAGUGGAAAGUUCACACUGUGACGGUAUCUUACCAGAAAGGGACGGCUAACUACGUGCCAGCAGCCGCGGUAAUACGUAGGUCCCGAGCGUUGUCCGGAUUUAUUGGGCGUAAAGCGAGCGCAGGCGGUUAGAUAAGUCUGAAGUUAAAGGCUGUGGCUUAACCAUAGUACGCUUUGGAAACUGUUUAACUUGAGUGCAGAAGGGGAGAGUGGAAUUCCAUGUGUAGCGGUGAAAUGCGUAGAUAUAUGGAGGAACACCGGUGGCGAAAGCGGCUCUCUGGUCUGUAACUGACGCUGAGGCUCGAAAGCGUGGGGAGCGAACAGGAUUAGAUACCCUGGUAGUCCACGCCGUAAACGAUGAGUGCUAGGUGUUAGGCCCUUUCCGGGGCUUAGUGCCGCAGCUAACGCAUUAAGCACUCCGCCUGGGGAGUACGACCGCAAGGUUGAAACUCAAAGGAAUUGACGGGGGCCCGCACAAGCGGUGGAGCAUGUGGUUUAAUUCGAAGCAACGCGAAGAACCUUACCAGGUCUUGACAUCCCGAUGCCCGCUCUAGAGAUAGAGUUUUACUUCGGUACAUCGGUGACAGGUGGUGCAUGGUUGUCGUCAGCUCGUGUCGUGAGAUGUUGGGUUAAGUCCCGCAACGAGCGCAACCCUUAUUGUUAGUUGCCAUCAUUCAGUUGGGCACUCUAGCGAGACUGCCGGUAAUAAACCGGAGGAAGGUGGGGAUGACGUCAAAUCAUCAUGCCCCUUAUGACCUGGGCUACACACGUGCUACAAUGGCUGGUACAACGAGUCGCAAGUCGGUGACGGCAAGCUAAUCUCUUAAAGCCAGUCUCAGUUCGGAUUGUAGGCUGCAACUCGCCUACAUGAAGUCGGAAUCGCUAGUAAUCGCGGAUCAGCACGCCGCGGUGAAUACGUUCCCGGGCCUUGUACACACCGCCCGUCACACCACGAGAGUUUGUAACACCCGAAGUCGGUGA
rnacentral:rRNA from 1 species